UCGAUGCCCAAAUCUGAAGUCUAUAAUUAAAGAAACAGAAGAAAAAGAAGAAGAAGAAGAAGCGUCCAAUUGCAGCGGCUUAACAUCUCUUCAGCGGCUUGAGAUUACAUCUUGCGAAGAAUUGACAUAUUUACCAAAGAGGCUGUUACAACAAACCCUUGUAACAUUAGAGAUAUUCUAGUGUCUGAAUUUAAUAAUUGCUGAUCCAGAUGAAUUAUGCAACCUUCCAUCCCUUUAGAGCUUGUCGGUUGUAGGAUCUCCAAGAUUGGCGGGUUAGGGGGAGGAGAGGCUAUUUUGCCUGACCAGCCUUCAAACAUUGACGAUAGGUUUCUUCUCAGAGGAGCUCGAAUAUUUCCCCUGGCCUUCCACCACCGUAAGUGCUGUAUCUGCAUCUGCUUCCACUUCCACUCCCUCUCCCGCUACUGCUACUGCAGAGGAGGAGGUUGAUGAUGAUACCAAAUAUCAUCACCCAAAUCCCAAACACUACCCCUUCAUCUCCUUGGUAUGUCUGGAUUUAUGUGGGUGGAAAGGGGUCAAGUAUCUGCCUGAUCAACUUCAGCACCUCACUACCUUGAGACACUUGUCAAUUGAAGAUUUUGAUGGACUGGAAGCUCUGUUGGAGUGGCUGGGUAACCUUUCAUCUCUUCAUUCUUUGGAUCUUAGGUAUUGAAAGAAUCUAAUGAAUCUUCCCACCCUGGAAGCAAUGCAACGCCUCACCAAUUUACAAUCUUUGACAAUUCGUUUUUGUCCCCUUCUAAAGGAAAGAUGCACAAGGGAGAGCAGCCAAGAAUGGCACAAGAUUGCCCAUAUUCCAGACAUUUUUAUUAACGGUCAAUGGCUUCAUCAGCAGAUGACUAAUCUUCUUCUUCAAGAUGAAGCAUAAAAAAGCUUACUGCCAAUUAUGGUUUUGUACAAGGUGUUCCAAUUUUUCUUCAUGUGUAAGUGCUGGAUUUACUGCCUACCAGCGGCAAAGUCAAUUAGAGCAGGCCAUCAAUAAUUGAUGUAGGGAGAAGAGAGGUAGUUUGAGCAAGAGGCAAUUAAUCUAACGAUGAGGUUGCAACAACAGUCCACUUGGAUGCGCAAGGGAAAGCGGCCAAGAAUGUCACAAGAUUGCCCAUAUUCCAUCCAUCAAUGUCUUGUAGAUUUAAAGGUCAGGAGGCAUUUCAUGAAUGAUGAAUCUUCCUCUACAAAUGAUGAAUCUUCUUCUUCAAGAUGAAGCAUGAAAUAGUCUACUGCCAAUUAUGUUUAUUAGUCUCUCUGUGCUCCCACAAAUUGCUUUGUUACAAGGUCUCUUCUACAAGGAGGAGUUCCAGUUUUUCUUCAAGUGUAAAUGCUGGAUUUAUUGCCUGCCAGCUGUACAAUGAAUAAUAGCAGUCCAUUGAUAAUCAAUGUAGGGAGAAGAGCAGAGGUAGUUUGAGCAGGAGCCAAUUAAUCUAAGAUGAAGUUGCAACAACAGUCCACUUGGAUGAUUGAAUCAUAGGUAGUUUGAGCGGGAGGCAAUUAAUCUAAAGAUGAAGUUGCAACAACAUUCCACUUGGAGGAUUGAAUCAUAUUAUUUUACAUGUGAAGCCAAAAGACUAAUUUUGUCUGUAGUUUUGGGUCACAAAGACCAAGUGCAGCAGAAGAUUUGCAGGUAGCUUGCUGGAAAUAGGUGAUUGAGCUGGAACUCUCGCAUCAGCUGGAUCAGCGGACGCUAUUGGAAGGGCUGAGUGCUUUUGAGUUGAAAAGGAAAGCUAGCAAAGCUAAAACAAACAUGACAAAAAUAAAGUGUAGCUCAAGAUUUGCAGUGGUAUUC